rnacentral:tRNA from 1 species
GGUUGUGGCUCAGUGGUAGAGCGCUUGCCUAGCAUGCGUGAGGCACUGGGUUCAAUCCCUGGCACCA